rnacentral:rRNA from 1 species
UACGGGGGGGGCAAGCGUUGUUCGGAAUUACUGGGCGUAAAGGGCUCGUAGGCGGCCAACUAAGUCAGACGUGAAAUCCCUCGGCUUAACCGGGGAACUGCCUCUGAUACUGGAUGGCUUGAGAUUGGGAGAGGGAUGCGGAAUUCCAGGUGUAGCGGUGAGAUGCGUAGAUAUCUGGAGGAACACCGGUGGCGAAGGCGGCAUCCUGGACCAACACUGACGCUGAGGAGCGAAAGCCAGGGGAGCAAACGGG